rnacentral:rRNA from 1 species
GAUGAACGCUGGCGGCGUGCUUAACACAUGCAAGUCGAACGGAAAGGCCCAAGCUUGCUUGGGUACUCGAGUGGCGAACGGGUGAGUAACACGUGGGUGAUCUGCCCUGCACUUCGGGAUAAGCCUGGGAAACUGGGUCUAAUACCGGAUAGGACCACUUCUUGGAUGUUGUGGUGGAAAGUAUUUUCGGUGUGGGAUGAGCUCGCGACCUAUCAGCUUGUUGGUGGGGUAAUGGCCUACCAAGGCGUCGACGGGUAGCCGGCCUGAGAGGGUGUACGGCCACAUUGGGACUGAGAUACGGCCCAGACUCCUACGGGAGGCAGCAGUGGGGAAUAUUGCACAAUGGGCGCAAGCCUGAUGCAGCGACGCCGCGUGGGGGAUGACGGCCUUCGGGUUGUAAACUCCUUUCGCUAGGGACGAAGCGUUUUGUGACGGUACCUGGAGAAGAAGCACCGGCUAACUACGUG